rnacentral:lncRNA from 1 species
ACCUAUCCUUUGAGGUCAUCUGAGAGUACUGUCAGGGUUCUUCGUUCUAGAUCAGUUGCAGAUAAGUCACCUAGUGACGCUGUUCAAAUAGCAGAAAGAGCCGCGGAGAAGCCACCCAGAGACUCUGUGGACGCUGUAGUAAAACCACCUGCUAAAAGAAUAAAGAGGGAUAGACCCGCAAAGGGUGGUCCAGACGAUGAGUUAUCAAAAAUUCGGAAGCGAAUUAGAUAUGUUUUGAACCGGAUGAACUAUCAGCAAAGUUUUCUUGAAGCAUAUGCCAAUGAAGGCUGGAAAAAUCAAAGGUUUGCCACCUCUCUAUUCAUGUAUUUGAUUUGAUGUGCUGGCGUCUUCUCCUGAAUUCACCUUUGCAUUUGUAGCCGAAGUUUCAUUUUCUGUUACUCCUUCCGUUCCCUUCUGCAAGGUGUUCU